ACGACCUUUGAUUGUUCAUAUGUCUCUCCUUUUUUAAAUUAAAAGGAAUAUUCAUUUUUAGUGACACAGUUCUUUGUCCUGGUAUAAUCGGAAAUCCUGACUAUGGCGGAUCUGGUCACGUGUUAUAUAUUGAAAUUGUAAGUGUCGUCAACAAAAAAGGAUGGGCAAAGUUUUCCAUUGACGUAGGUAAAGAAUGGAUGGCUUUAGAUGGUGUCCCACAUUUAGCUAAAAAAAAGGAUUUUCUUCCUGGUAUUGAGGACCAUAUUUACAAGCAUAUUGGACAACAUAUCAACGCAUUUAAAGAGCAACUGACCAAGUCCGGUGCUGAUCCAAAUGGAAUGUUUCUCAACAAAGGUUUUCAAAAACUAUUACGACUGUAACAGAGAUAAUCAAAAACAUUUAGCAAAAAAAAAAAGGUGCAAUGCAGUGAUUCUUGUUAAACAUCCACUUACUUUGAUUUUGUUUAUAAAUAUCAUAAAAGUACGUUUACUUUAAAAAUCAACUGUAGAGAAGUUCGAACCUAUUGGAAGAGUCUGCAUAUGCGAUUAAGCCUUUUCCUUAUUUAAGUAAAUCCUACCAAUUAAAUAUUAUUUCAAUAACUACAAUUAUGAUAAUUGUUUCAAAACAACGCACCAAAAAUUCAAAACUGCUAAACAUAUGCAUUUUACCAAAAUAAUUUUAGCGAUAGCAACAAUAAUGAACAUGUACAAGAUCUAAAUAAAGUAAUCUUGGUAAUAAAGAUAUUAUUAUUAUUA